rnacentral:lncRNA from 1 species
GAAAUUCCAUUUUAUUUAAAAAAAAAAAUUCGGGGUCUUACAACCUCCCCUCCUUAUGAAAUUUCGUCCUCGAAAUUGACGUACGUACCUGGUGUUUCGAAAAGUUGAGGAUACCUCGCUUUCAUUUCUAUUUCCAACUCCCAGGUCAUUUCUUCAAUAGCAUGGUUUCUCCACAAAACUUUAACUUGUGGUAUAACCUCGGUACAUAGGACAUGCUCCUUCAUAUCUAAUAUCUUGACAGGUACCUCUUCGUACGUUAAGUCUUCAGCUAUCUCGUCUGGUUCUAACUCAAUGAUGUUAUUCGGGUCGUCCACAUAUUUACGUAACAUCGGUACGUAAAAAAUGUUAUAAACACGCGACAUACUUGGUAGUAAAGCGAGUCUAUAGGCCACAGUUUCUACUCGAUCGAGAAUGAAUUAAUAAAUCGAAGGUUUGAGCUUUCUU